AUUUCAGUCACUUCGGUCCUUUUUUCAGCUCAGCUAGAGCUGCUGGUGAAUAUGAGCGACUCGGUGGCAGGAAUUUUAGUCAUUCGACUGAACCAGGUUGAUAAUAUGAUGUCCUCUGCAGAUGAUCCACCCUGAUAAGGUUUCUAGAUGGAGAUUUUGCAGUGACCACUAAUCUCUGUUCUAGAGAAAGGAGAUCUGGAGGUAAAACUUAGUUUAAGAACUUGUUUUGAAUGCUUUUCUACAGUAGAUGUGAUGAGUUUGUUAUCCCUGUCUGAAACUAGAGUGUGGAAAUCAAUACUAUCUGAACUGCCUCAGGGUGAUGUUAAAAAGACUGGACUUGAUGGAAGAUCAAUAAUGCAACAUGUUGUUACAGGGCCGAUGAGAUGAAGUCCACGUGGAGGAGAAACCAUGGAAAGGAUGUGUUCCGGUUGGGAGGUGCUUUGAAGAUGACUGAGGGGCCCUAAGAAUACUCAAAGUUGGAGGUGGAAUAAGGCCAGGUUGGAUGAAUCUGGAUGUGUGAUGCUAAAAGCAGGAAGUGGGGGGAAAAAAGAAUGAAGCUGAAUGUUGUAAAACAUUUAUUAAAUGCAUAUAAUAAUAAAACAGCUUUUGAUCAAAA